CAGUAGCCGCGGUAAUACAGAGGGUGCGAGCGUUAAUCGGAUUUACUGGGCGUAAAGCGUGCGUAGGCGGCUUCUUAAGUCGGAUGUGAAAUCCCUGAGCUUAACUUAGGAAUUGCAUUCGAUACUGGGAAGCUAGAGUAUGGGAGAGGAUGGUAGAAUUCCAGGUGUAGCGGUGAAAUGCGUAGAGAUCUGGAGGAAUACCGAUGGCGAAGGCAGUCAUCUGGCCUAAUACUGACGCUGAGGUACGAAAGCAUGGGGAGCAAACAGGAUUAGAUACCCCUGUAGUCCCUGUCUCUUAUAA
rnacentral:rRNA from 1 species